rnacentral:lncRNA from 1 species
AAAAAUAAUCCUAAAGUAGAGAAGAGGGAGACUGAACAGAGUUUCUAUCCGGUGUGGUCAGGAGCUCUGGAAGAAUCUGCAACGCCGCACCUGGGCAGCACCUGGACGUGGGAUUCACUUUAACGACGACCAACCAAUCAGAAAGAGACACUCAGGCGGGUGCAACCCUCCUCCCAUCGGCACAAUUAUAGCGGAACAAGGCUCCAAUGGCGCAAGUUCCAGUGCAGCCAGGCGUAGACCAGAUAUCAUGCACCUGCUUAUUUUUCUGGUAAAACCGCGACACGUAAGUGGGUGCACGUGAGUUGCUUCCACGUCCGUAGCAGAUCCAUGACUCGUUUAGGAGUUGAUUCUGUGUUGGUGACAACACCGUAAGUGUGGUGAGCUCGCUGAUCCAACAACUGGAAGACUCCACGUCACCAAUGUCAAUCGAAGCUAGCACUAGCCAAUGCUUGAUCAAAACGUGUCUUGGCAUAUUGGUCCCCAUCUGCACUAG